rnacentral:rRNA from 1 species
UAGUCUUAUCGGUGGAUCACUCGGCUCGUAGAUCGAUGAAGAACGCAGCCAACUGCGAUAAUUAGUGCGAACUGCAGAUAUUUUGAGCACUAAAGUUUCGAAUGCACAUUGCGCCAUUGGAUUUCAUCCUUUGGCACGUCUGAUUCAGGGUCGUAAAUACAAAACC